GUGAAUCAUCGAAUCUUUGAACGCAAAUUGCACUUUCUGGUAUUCCGGAAAGUAUGCCUGUUUGAGGGUCAGUUAAAUAAAACUCGGUGUUGUUGCUGCCUUUCGUGGCGACGCGUCGGUCUUGGGUCGUCUUACCUUCGGUUAAGAGACUUACAAUUUUUGCAUGAUUUUCGAAGGUAUUUAAAUCGCUUACGUACGUUUGAGAUAUCGUAUGCUUCUUAGG
rnacentral:misc_RNA from 1 species